rnacentral:lncRNA from 1 species
GGUAACCUGAGAUGUCACAGUCAAAUUUGAAGGAAACAAUAUUGAACCCUAAUAAUUUAGGAAAAUGGUAAAUUACACCAAGUCGCAUGAGAUUUCUUACAUAACUUCUUUUGUACUUUCUGAAUUAUCACAAAUCUCUUGAGUUUUAAAUAAUUAUCAAAAUUCUCUAAUUGUUAACAUCUUCUAACUUGACAGAAGUUGAUGAUGCGUUUGUUUUUUAAAUAGAAAUGCCAAAAUGCCCCUCAUUCCGCAAAUUAUAUUAACCAAAUAACUCUCAUCUUCUUCAAUCCAAACCAUAACCAUAAAAUUUAGCACUGCCACCACUACUGCACCCCUCCUUCACACCCUCGCCAACCAAUCACCCCUCCCUUCUAUCACCCGCCAUCCUCAAAUCUCCCAUUCACCAUCCCUAAAGCUCUAACACCUCCCCCCACCUCCCCUGUCAGCGAAGGGCGAGCCUCAAGGGAUGGGAUAGGGGCCAGGGUGGAAGGGGAGGCAGUGACACCGCCUACCAAUCUCAAUACCAUAGUUGCCAAACCUAGCAAACACCCAAAGCCAACUCUAGGCUAAAGCAAGCUCAGUCCAGACUUUAGCCCCCUUAAAAGUCCCAAAUUUUAGGCCCCAAUUGUUUAGAGAUGUUAUAUAGUGGUCUACAAUAAAGAAUUAAAUGAUGUUUUAAUAAGAUACUCAAUUUUUAAUAAAAGGCCUAAUUUCGAAUAAAAAUGUCUAUUCUUUACAUGUACAUUAGUGGGGCCUACCAAAACUAAUAAAAGGCAGAAAGAAAGUGAGAGGAAACAUGAGUUCGGUUGUUCUUGUUCUUGGCGUGAAGAAAACAAGUUGGAGAAAACUAUUGAACCUACAUGCUUGACUUAAUUUCUUAGGGCUCUAUGUGUAUGUUUUCCUUCUUAAUAUUAGAGCCUAUUAGUAUAAUAUUGUUAUAUUAUAGGAAUUUUUGUUGUUUGAUGUGAAAUACUGUUUUUUUAAUAUGGUUAAUUUGUACUCCUUAAACCCUGAUAAAUUAUACAAGCUUGAUUAGUAUUUUUGCAGUCCAAAAUGCAAAAAUAGUGAAUUUUAGAUGAUAAUACUUUUUAAAAGUUAUUGUAGUGAUAAAUAGUAUUAACAUUUUGUUUAUUACACUUGAAAGUUUAAAUUUCUAUUUUAAUUUUAUUUUUGUGAAUUUUAGUUUGUGAAAUUAUCGUUUGCUCUCAUUAUGUGAUGAAAAAAAACUUUAAUAGUCGCAAGCUCAUAAUUGUAUAUAGGGGCUCAUCUCUAAACUUCGAUUAAGACCCUAAAAUCUCAAGAUCCGCCCUGCAAAUACCUGCCUCGCUUAUCAAAUACACUUUUUUUUUGGGGGGGGGGGGGGGGGUUGUCCUUCGAAUAUUUUGUUCAAUUGAUGAAGCUGUUCAAUUGUCGUGAAAUGAAAAGACAAGGAAAAAUUCCUGCAUUUUUUUAUUGUUUAGUUUAGGAGGGAAUUUGGGAGAAUCCUCUCCUUAGUUUCUCCUCAAAAGUUGUGUUGCAAAAAAUGCAAGAUGCAAGACUUUUUUUUCAACUACUUUUUUAAAUAAUUUUCUGAAAACAAACACGUGUACUAACUAUCGAACUUGUUGAUGUUAAUAGUUUUUUUAUGAAAAAUAAAACAAAGAAAAGCAUGUUUACUGCUUUUCAUAGUGAAAAAAGAAACCAACAAAAUAUUAAUUUCAGAAUAUAUUUUAAGAAGACCAUCAAAAAGAUACUUUCAAAUUCUCAAGAAAUAAUUUGUGUGCUCACAAAAUAAGGCUAAUGAUUUUUACCCUCUCUUUUUAUCAAGAUGCACUCAUUUUUAUUUUUAUUAUGUAAAUUUACCCAAAUAACCACUUUACUCACAUAUAUUCACUUCAUAAAAGGCUAUACGGGUAAAUUCACCAUAAUCAGGUUAGUUUUGAGUUUUUCGGGGCCCUAAGCUGUUACCACCCAACUCAAGGAUUGGUGUCCAUAACCGGCUAGUGAGUCCAGCGCACCUCAUGUCUCUUUUAUUUGAAGCUUAGUAUAAUAUAAUUCAGGAAUAUUUAAAAACUAAUAGGUAGCAUAACAAAAAUUAAAUAUUAAAAGAAAAAUCAAAUCAUUAUUUCAAGCCAGAAAGUGUAACGAUACUUUUACAUCUUCAGUUUUUGAAAGUGAUAUAAAAGUAAUAUUCCAAGCAUUUUUAUUUUUUAGGAAAAAAAAAUUAUUGAACAACUCGCUACCCCCUGCGAGUCUGGGAAGAAAAAGAUUCAAAUACGUAAGCAAAACUCGUGUGAAUUACGAAUAUCAAAAUUUUCAUGCAUUAUCCUUUCUAUUUUGCAUAAGUAUGUAAUCGCACAAAUUUAAUAACGAUAAUUAUGUCACUUUUUCAAGUGAGUGACCUUUGUAUACAUGACCUGAUAUCAAAUCAAUCAGACGUUGGUCGUGCCCCGCGCUUGUAUCUCCUAGUCUGAUUAGAAUCUUUCGCGUCCCCUAGUUACACGGGACCUCGUUGCAAUAU